AGUCAGUUGGAACCUGCUCGUGGUGCUGUGAGGAGGAAGGGAUAGGAAGUUGUGCAAGCAGCAGAGAAGGGCAAUAAGGAGAAACAUCCUUGACUGAAGAUUGAUCUGUUCCUGUAUAAUUAAAUAUGGCACAAAAAUUCAUGCUUACAGAACCGAGGACAUCCAAUUCUUCGGGUUCAGAAGAUGCCUGGGGAAGCUACUAGGAAGGGAAUUAAGCCUGUCCCAGCCGAAAGCAGCACAGUGUAUAAAGAGAAAGCGCCGAGAGCAUCUCGCCGCGUUCACUGCGGUUUGACGAUGAGAAGGGAGACAGUUCUACCCAAAGAGUGAACACUGACCAUCACUUACGGAUCAGGUGCUGUUUCCAGGAGAGCCGAGAGCAGCGCUGCCGGUGGCCUUGGUUAUUUAUGCUUGCCCCGGGGAAUGCCAGUGCCUUGGCUCUGAGAUACUUUAUGGCCAGGAAUGCAGCCUACAUCAUUGAUUCCAGCUAUCUGCUGUCACUGCAGGUUUGUUUCAUCACCUCUUUGCCAAGGUUAGUGAUUGCUAUGUGCUGACAGAAAUCUUCUACAGGUGUGCUGAAAGCAGAAAGAGGGAAAAAAUCCUGGAGCACAAUCCUUGGCAAGAAAGUUCCAUAUAUAGUUCCAUAUAGAUGUUUACAUUUCUGUUCCAUUUUUUCCUGUUACCUAUAAAUGAAAUCAGCUUUAGUUGGGAUUGCUUUUCAUUACAGAUUUUGUAGUGCAAUGCUCAGCCUUUUGCACAAAGGGUAUUUUACAGAAAUGUUAUCAGUAAUAAUAUAUUAGCAAAACCUUGUGGGAAAGAAUUUCUUAUUUUUGUGGUAGCAUGAUGCUACUGUUUGUCUCCUUGCCAUGAAAUCACCAGUCUGAGACCACCAUCAAAUUCUGUUACCCCAACCUUCAGCCAUUCGUCUGAGAUGGAAAAACCAUGAUGUGCACUUUUACCAAGUGAUUUUCUGCAAAUAAGUUCAUGUAUUGCCUCUAUCUCCUAAUGCAGACCACGGCACAGAACCACAGUUUGUUGUCCUGCCAUUGUAUAAGCUUGAUACGCAUUAGAGAGGAUAAAACAA